rnacentral:lncRNA from 1 species
CCGUACUCUACGGGGGUAGUUUUCUUCUACUCUGUCCUGAGCCAACCUGCGGCCGGCUGCGGGGCUCUACCUUCGGUGGCCUCUGCUCUGCCCCAGGAGGACAGCCUGGAGGGAGAGGGAAUGGCUCCUGCCCUGACAGCUAGGCCGGGGAAGGUGAGUGUCACUUGCUGCUUUCCUGAAAUACAUCUCAGGCCAGAGAUGGGGGGUAGGUUUCUUUGUCCUG